rnacentral:pre_miRNA from 1 species
AUUUUUUUAGGUUUUGAUUUUUAUUACAUCUUCAUGAGAGAAUCCAAACCUAAAGAAAGUG